rnacentral:rRNA from 1 species
CCCUGCCAUUUGUACACACCGCCCGUCGCUCCUACCGAUUGAAUGGUCCGGUGAAGUGUUAGGAUCGAGGCGACGUGGGCGGUUCGCCGCCUGCGACUUCGCGAGAAUUCCACUGAACCUUAUCAUUU